UACGAAGGGGGCUAGCGUUGCUCGGAAUCACUGGGCGUAAAGCGCACGUAGGCGGAUUUUUAAGUCAGGGGUGAAAUCCUGGAGCUCAACUCCAGAACUGCCUUUGAUACUGGCGAUCUCGAGUCCGGGAGAGGUGAGUGGAACUGCGAGUGUAGAGGUGAAAUUCGUAGAUAUUCGCAAGAACACCAGUGGCGAAGGCGGCUCACUGGCCCGGUACUGACGCUGAGGUGCGAAAGCGUGGGGAGCAAACAGG
rnacentral:rRNA from 1 species